AUUGAACGCUGGCGGCAGGCUUAACACAUGCAAGUCGAGCGGGGUGAUGGUGCUUGCACUAUCACUUAGCGGCGGACGGGUGAGUAAUGCUUAGGAAUCUGCCUAUUAGUGGGGGACAACAUCUCGAAAGGGAUGCUAAUACCGCAUACGUCCUACGGGAGAAAGCAGGGGAUCACUUGUGACCUUGCGCUAAUAGAUGAGCCUAAGUCGGAUUAGCUAGUUGGUGGGGUAAAGGCAUACCAAGGCGGAGAUCUGUAGCGGGUCUGAGAGGAUGAUCCGCCACACUGGGACUGGGACACGGCCCAGACUCCUACGGGAGGCAGCAGUGGGGAAUAUUGGACAAUGGGGGGAACCCUGAUCCAGCCAUGCCGCGUGUGUGAAGAAGGCCUUAUGGUUGUAAAGCACUUUAAGCGAGGAGGAGGCUCUUUUGGUUAAUACCCAAGAUGAGUGGACGUUACUCGCAGAAUAAGCACCGGCUAACUCUGUGCCAGCCGCCGCAGUAA
rnacentral:rRNA from 1 species